UGCAGUUGAAGCCAGCAGGGUAGUCCAGACAAUGAAGUAGAUUCCUUUGCUCAUGUUGACAGCUUAUUUGGAAAACUUGAACAGCUGUCUGAUUCAUGAAUAGAGAACCUAUUCAAGAGAGUUUAGUAACAAAAUUUCCAAAAGAAAUGAAUGUGUCAGAUAGUCUCCUUUAUAAAGCACUUCUAUCAACAAACAUCUGUUGAGUAUGCACCCUGUGUAAAGUACAAUGCCAAGUGUUGACUUGCAAUGGGGAAUAAGACUAGUCUUGUGUUGAAGAUUCAGAUAGUGACAAGAUUUAAACAUAAAAUAUUAUUAACAGAUGAGAGGCAGGAUAUAAGCACUAAGUGAUUGAUGGAGGAUUCAAGGACUUCUGGAGAAGGAGGAAGUUUCAAAUGUUGGAGGAUAUUGUCAUAAUGAGGUUUCAAAAUAUUUAAGAAAUUGAGUCCUAUAUUUUGAAACAGUUUUAUUUUUUCUUCCAAUGUGAAAGGAUGAGGUAAUUCUCUUUUGUAUUAAAACUUAUCUUCUAAACCUUUGUCAGGUUGAUUAACAAGAGGCAAGCUUGCUGAUCAACUUUAGGCACAUGACACACACAUUUACCCUCCUGAUGUCAGUAUGGCAGGUGGAGAUGAUAUGGGAACAUGUUUGGUAGACUUUAGCCCUUACACAGUUGAUUAUUUACAUUUUUUGGCUUGAGAGAGGAUAGGCACUAGCAGAGGGAGUUUCUCAUAGAUGGACCACCAUGGCCAUACACACAAUUUGGUGUGAUCUUUAGUGAUCAUCCAUUAGUCAAAUAAACCUUGCAAAUGACUUUGCUAACUGGGUUUUAUUGCAGGUUUAUUUGACUAAUGAAUGACCACUAAAUAUCAUCCCAAAUUGUGCAUAUAUGAAGACUUCUUUGUUUUAAAUUUGUAAGUUUUAAAGUUUUUAAUGAUCAAGGCUCCCUUUUGCCUUGUGAAGGUCACUUUUCAUUUGUUCAGAAGCAGUUUUGACUUAAGAUACCAUCUGUAUAUAGAUUACUGACAGUUAUAAAAGACCAAUAGCUUUUAAGGCAUUGUACUGUUAACAGUAGGUGAUACUGAUUUUGGUAAAUAUUUCACAGGGUAUACUUACAUCAUAGCAUCACAUUAUUAAAAAGGUAGUUUCUAUUCAUUAGUUUCUAUUCAUUAAUCAUACCUUGAUAAAAUUGAAAAAAAAAAACUAAAAUAAAACCAGUAGAUAGUAAAAAGAUGAAUAAGACUACUCCAGUAUCAGGGAGCUGACAUUUUAUUUGAAAAAAAGUAUAUUCAUAGAUAAAUACAAUCUAUAGUAUGUGGUGUAUUCUAUAGGAGAGACCCCCAGAAAGGUGAAAGAUGUUUUGCAGACAUAAAACAAAGUAGUAACAAUUUUUGGGCGACAGGGUGAGUGAAAAGAAGUAGUGUGAGGUAAAGGUUGGCUAGGUGGGCGGGAGUCAGAUCUUGGAGAACUUUGAUGUCUUUCUGAAUAUGUGAACUUUAUUCCUGUGGGAAUGGAGAACCUUAGGAGGCUUUUUAGAAUGUCUUCUCCACUCCACUGCCAUUAGAAAGUAAUACUUGGUCAUUAUACAGAAUUGGAAAGCACAGAAAAGGUGUUCAGAAGAAAUGUAAAGUCAAUCAUAGAUUCAGUCUCUCUUUCUGUUCCCCUCCCCAACCUCGUCUCCUAAGUCUGUCAUUGUUGGAGACCCUGCAGUUUUGCUUUGGGGCCCUUUAAAUUUAAACCUUUAUAAAGGCAUUGGACUGGUCCAAAAAUAGGGAAUAUCUAUGUAGAAUCAGGGAUCCAGGUAGCAGAGGUAGUUGCAUCCUCUUCUCUGUUUGCAGACUAUUCACUUAUUUUUAGCAAAUUACCAUGUAGCUUUGUUGGCAUCUUCUGAGGCUGUGGAGACAAUUGAUUUAAGAAGCAUAGUGGUUAACACAGUAUUUACAAAGUCAUCAUUUCUAUUACAAGAUAUAUGAGGUCUGAGUUAGUGUGAUUCAAGGGUCAGUGAUCCCUAGCUUUGACCAUUAAUCCUGUGAUAAUGGAAGUGAUGGCAGCUUUCACCUCAAACACACCAAGAAUUAAUGACAGCACUGUCCUCCACAUGUUUUGACAAAGAUUGCCCAUUAUCUUGUUUUCCAUAAAGCACUCCUGCCCUUUAAGUUUUGCCUGUAAAUAAGGGAAGAAUGAGACAGAUACCAUUUGUAGAUUUAGCUUAUGUUAACAUUUUCGACGAUGAUCCAGAAUUGCUCAAUUAUAUUUGACUUUUGGAAAAGUCUAAAUGGAAAGGACAGUUUGUUUAUAGGAAAGCCGAGUCUUUCCUACUUUGUAGGGUAACAUGAUUAAUUUUAACAUUGAAUCCACAGCUUUGCAGAAUGUAGUAAAAUUCCUGUUGCACCCAGCCUUAGGUUUAUAAGCUCAGGCUUGUGCAUAGCAUCAGUGUUCUCAUGUAUAUAUGCAUUCCCUAACACUUGGUGAUUUGUACUUUAGUCUUGUUUUCCAGUUUUUUCCACCACGUGAUAUCUGACCUCAGCUUGCAGAGUUUAAAAAAUUAAGUAUAUUUUACUCAUGACCUUUAUAAAAAUUAAAAUUUUCAGUUGGCUGUGUACAUCUCAGUUGAUGGUAGAAAUGCAUGUGAAAACAGUUGUUUUUAGCUCUAUCAUUCCCAGUAUCUUGUUUUAUUCAUAUUCCGUCUGCAACUGGUGAUGCCACUGCCUUUUUAGCUUCCUAGUCCCUGUGUGAGGGCAGUGUGCCCAUGUCCGUGUCUGCCUUCUAUUGUCAUGUGAAUGACUGGCCACACGACCAGGAGUGCUUUGGGGAAAGUCUCUCAGUACCUCAAGGACCUAAGCUUCCAGUAAGCCCUCCCGGAGGGGUGAAAAUAUAGGAUUCCCCAGGCUUCUAGCUCAUCUCUCUUUCUAAUUUUGGUCCCCUGUAAACCUCUUCUGAACUCCCAUUCUCUUUCAAGGUUAGAGCAUAUGAAUUUUAUUCACACAACUAACCAUGUGUCACAAAGCUCUCCCUACAUACCUUUUUCUUAUCUCUUACCGUUCAUUCACUGCUAUAGCUUUGGCCAGACUGAAUUACAUCUCAGUCCAUAAUUCUGUUCUCUUUCAUUCCUACCUUGCGUAUGCUAUUCUUUUUCCCAGAGUGCUUUCCACAUACCUUCCCUUCACCACUUAUUAUUUGCUAAUGGUAACCAUGGCUGGGUGAAGUCUGUGCUUCUAAGAUCUCUGUGGAAAUUCUUUCUUGCUUAUACCUCUUGUCCCCUCUUUCUCAGACUGGCUUAGCUGUCUCCACUGUGUAUGCCAUAGCAUCACUCUCAUUUCUAUCCCAGCUCUUAAGCUGGUUACAGUCACAGGUCUGAGGUAGUUAAGUAUUUCCAGUACUGACCAUAGUGCCAACCACUGAGCUGGUGCUCAAUAAAAAAAUUAAAGAAUCAGUGACUCAAGAAGGGGAGAAAGUGUGCAGGUAAAUUUUUUUCAUAUCUACCAUUAUCAUUCAUAGGCUCAGUAGUUUGAGAAGCUCAUAUUGCCUGUUUUGACUUUUAGAAUAGAAUGUAAAUUAAAUUGACAUUCUCUGUGGAUUAUAUUUUUAAAAAAAUUAUUGGUUAAGAAUACUGUUUAUUUAGCCUCUAGAUUAUAACCAUUUUACAGUAAGACAUGGGACAUACAUGUGUAUGUGCUUGUUUGAGUGAAACAAUGUUCUAAAGUACAAUGCAUACUCUUAUUGGUGUUUUCUAUUCAGUUCUUUUCUAUUUAUUUUUAUCAGUGUUAUUCAUAGCCCAUUAGACUGAUUUUACAACCCUUAUAGGUCACAGUCAGCCCUUUGGAAACCACUGUUCUAAAUAACUGUAUUUUGUCCUGUGAUGAAGACUUUGAGUGUUGGUGUAUCAGUCAAAGUUCAACCAGAGAAAGUUAACCAGUAGGAGAUUCAUAUUAAGAGAUUUAUUGCAAGGAAUUGGCUUAUAACCAGUGUAGAGACUGGAUAUGUACGUCAGAAAUCUUGUAGGGCAGGCCAUCAAGAUGGGAGGGAGAGAGGCUGGAACAUGGCAACAGACUGAAACUGCUGUCCAAAGUCAGAAUUUCUACUUUCUCUGGGAAGCCUCAGUUCUGCUCUUAAGGUCCUUCAACUGAUUGAAUGAGGCUCGCCAAGAUUAUCCAGGGUUAUUGCCUUUACUUAAAGUCAACUGAUUUUGGACUUCAAUCACAUCUACAAAAUAUUUUACAGUGACACCUAGCUUGGUGUUUGAUUAAAUAACUGGGGGCUAUAGCCUAGUCAAGUUGAUACAUCAAAAGACUGUCAGAGUAGGUGCAAAGAACCUGGUCUUUUUCCCAUUUUAUAAUUUAAAGAGUAGGAGUCCAUUUUGGUUCAUCCACACUAGGAUGCUUUACAUCAUAUUCCUGUCUUCUCUGUACUAAAGUUAACCUUCUUCAACCCUUACCCACGUAUUUGGCUGGUGAUUUAGUCUCAUCCGUGUUUUCACAUUUUCUUCCAUCACCCUGAGUAAAUGCACAAUUUUUGAGAGUUUUCUAGAGUUCCUUGUUUUGUUUUGUUAUGUUUUGCCUUUUUUUUAGAGGCACACCCUCAGCAUAUGGAGGUUCCCAGACUAGGGGUCUAAUUGGAGCUGUAGCCACCGGCCUACACCACAGCCACAGUAACUUGGGAUCUGAGCCGCAUCUGCGACCUACACAACAGCUCACGGCAACGCUGGAUCUUUAACCAGCUGAGCAAGGCCAGGAAUUGAACCCACAACCCCAUGGUUCCUAGUCGGAUUCAUUUCCACUGAGCCACCAUGGGAUCUCCCUAGAGUUUCUUGUGUUUGGAGCUCUUUCUGCUUUUAACUUCUGAUGAUAUUCUUGAACAAAUGGUCAAGUUCCUUUCAAAGCUCUUUUUACUCUGUUUCCAGGCAGAAUUCUGGGCUUGGAGUAAUCUUUCCAAGGUUCCUAAGACUUCAAAGUUUGGUCUUCAUGAUAUCCCUUAGUCCUACUAUCAGAGAUACAGUCACCCUUGGGGGCCUUGCAUGAGGGAGGGUAAACUGCUAUACCUGAGGAACUUCCAUGCCCUAGAAGAGCCUUUCUCUUCCCAGCCUCAACCCUCUUUGGUGUGGUCAGUGACACUCUCCUCUUUUACCUCGCUACCCAACACAUUGCUAUUUCUCCCACCAUCUGUUUCUGUUUAGACAGUUCAGAAUCAUCUCCCACGAUGGGCCUUUAGAAACAACAAUGCUCUCUGGUAGUGAAAGAAGAAGUAAAUAUCAAUUGCUAAGACAAAUGCUAGAACAGACCCUAACUCAUCCUGUUG
rnacentral:lncRNA from 1 species